AGAGUUUGAUCCUGGCUCAGGCUGGCGGCGUGCCUAACACAUGCAAGUCGAGCGAUGAAGUUCCUUCGGGAAAUGGAUUAGCGGCGGACGGGUGAGUAACACGUGGGUAACUUGCCUUAUAGUGGGGGAUAGCCUUUCGAAAGGAAGAUUAAUACCGCAUAAGAUUGUAGUAUCGCAUGAUAUAGCAAUUAAAGGAGCAAUCCGCUAUAAGAUGGACCCGCGUCGCAUUAGCUAGUUGGUGAGGUAAUGGCUCACCAAGGCGACGAUGCGUAGCCGACCUGAGAGGGUGAUCGGCCACAUUGGGACUGAGACACGGCCCAGACUCCUACGGGAGGCAGCAGUGGGGAAUAUUGCACAAUGGGCGAAAGCCUGAUGCAGCAACGCCGCGUGAGUGAUGACGGCCUUCGGGUUGUAAAACUCUGUCUUCAGGGACGAUAAUGACGGUACCUGAGG
rnacentral:rRNA from 1 species